UAAUUGCACUAGCACGCACGAUGUAUAACCAAGAAAUCAACCGAGAUAAAUAAGCAUUAGGAGCACGUAGGCAUAUACAUUAGACGAUGAGUUCCUCCUCCUUGUGGGUCUCGAUGACGACGUCGGAGGUGGGGUAGGCGGCGCAGGUGAGCACCCACCCGGCGGCGACCUGGUCGUCGUCGAGGAAGCUCUGGUCGGACUGGUCGAUGCUGCCGGAGACGAGCUUGCCGGCGCAGGAGGAGCAGGAGCCGGCGCGGCACGAGUAGGGCAGCUCGAUCCCUUCCUCCUCGGCGUGGUCGAGGAUGUAGACGUCGUCGGGCACCUGGAGCUCCACCUCGCCGUCGGGAGUGAUGAGCUUGACGUUGUAGGUCGCCUGCGCGCGCAGCCUGGCUCCGCGGGGAGCCUUGGCCGGCAGCGGGACGGUGGACGGCGCCGGCGCCGGGGCCGCGCGGAGGGCGAAGCAGGCAGGCGCGCGGAGGCUGCUGAGCACGGUGGCCAUUGCGGACUUGCGGCGUGUGUAGUGAAGGGAGAGCUUGGAGCUGGAGGAGUUGGAGCUAUUAGCAGAGGCGAGCAGCAGCUAAUGAUGAUAGCUUAUAGGUAGCUAAAAGCGAGAUGAGGUGAAAUGAAGGGUCGGGGUGGGUGUAGCGUGAAGGGGAGGGCGGGAGGCUUAUCUUCUUGGUCGGGACCAGGACGACAUCCGUGGGGGAAAUCAACUACUCGAAAGUCGAAAUACAGCAGGGCCACACGCUAGACUCCAAACGUCAUCGAGAAUUCUCCGACCAUGAAUUUCACCAUGAAAUUCGCUAGUAAAAAUAUAACUUCUCCUCACCGAUCACAUUUGAAUCCGGUACUAAUGUUAAAAUUUGCCGGAGGUCCUUUUGUACCGAGUGGGGUUUCCAAUUGGUACUAAAGUCCCCUUUUAAUGGUUGGAAACCCCACCCAAUACUAAAGCCCCGUCUGCCGCCGGCCCUCCCCCACUCACACGCGCCUGCAUUAUCUCCUCAUCCAGUACACUUCUCCUUCUCUUCUCUCAUACUCCCUCUCCUCUUCCUAUCCUCUACUCUCCUCCCUCACACUCCCUCUCCCAGAUCUGCCUCUCCUCCGCUCGCCCCUCACCGACGAUGAGGAGUGGCGGCGUCGGGCCGGGGCGGCUGCGACGACGCAGGAGGGGCGCGGCAGCGGGAGCAGUGGGGUGGAGCAGGGAGCGGAGAGGAGGCGGUGAUGGGAGAGUGCAGCAGAGGAGGGGGAGGAGGAGGAGGAGGCGGAGGGGGCUGGCGGCGGGCGGAGGGAGGCCGGGACCGGCGGGGGAGGGGGGGGUUCUUCUUUUUUAAUUUUUUUAACACCCUCUAGUACAAGUUAUCUCAAUCGGUACUAGAGGAUCCCCCUCGAGUACAGGAUUGCUACCAGUUGCAGAAUCGGUACUAGAGGGGGGUUGGGAACCGACAAUAGAGGUUAUUUUUUAUAGUGAUUACUCAAAAUAGUGACAGAGAAAGUAGUAUUCAUUGUAUUCUCACGUACUCCCUCCGUUUAUUUUUAUAAGGCGUGAUAUGGCAUGGCACGUACUCCCAAAUUACACUUUGAUCAUUAAUUUAUCUUAUAUUAUAUUGUUUAUGACUAUAAACUUAUAAUCAUUGGAGAAUACAUUUGAUUGCAAAUCCAACCAUUUCAAAUUUAUACCAUAAAAAUAAAAAAAUAUUGGUUAAAUUAUUAGUCAAAGAUAGCAAACUUUUACAUUUGAUAUGCGCAUACGCCUUAUAUACAAACAUGAACGGAAGGAGUAGAAAAUAGACUGUGUGCGCCAGUCACUGCCCAUUGGUUGGUUGAGCGUGGCGUGUGGAGGCCACGGCCUCGAUCCAGGGCAUAUGCUUCUUUCGGUCCUUAGCAGUUGGCGGUAUCACGUGGUUCUCGUCAAUUUUUGUGUAUCUGGCCAGAGAUCUAAAUUACAUGUAAUUUUACAUGUAUGAAAAAUUAGUCAGUUCGCUGGUUAGCUUUCCAUGCCAACCAUGGAUCUCUUUUCUCUUUUCUUUUCUUUCUCUUCUUUUCUUCUCUCCCUGGUGAUGAGUGAUGGGUGGGUGGGUGGUCAGCAAAAACUAGCGAGCCUGCUGCAAAAACUAUGGCAUGGAAAGCUAACCAUCGAUAUAGUAUCAGUAUAAAAACUAGUGCCUGCUCCGUUAGAUUAGGUGGAAAACUCUAGUCAGUUCGCUACUGAACUACGGAUUGAUAAACUUUAGAUGGAAUACUCUAAGGAAAAAGUUACGAUAAUCCGUGCGCUUGCGAUUCACAAAUUGAUGCGCUAACUGCCGCCAACAAGCUUUUCCGGUGCUGUUGCCAGGGAUCAGCAACUCGAACCCUAGGGUGAGACUAACUCUAAUUUUUCUAUUGCAUAUCCUGUUUUUCUUGUUUGCGUCCUUAAAAGCAAGUAAAUACUAGACGUCAUAUAAUCGAACAUGGACUUUCAAGUCUCAAUUCACUCCGAUAAGAUGAUAACAACAUCGAGCUCAACUCUUUAGCAGUAGGUGAUAACUUGUUAGUGGCCCAACAUCUGUUAUUGAGUCCACACCAAUGAACACAAUACAAAUGCUUAUAAGCAAGUGGCACAUAAUCUGAGAUGGGCUUAGCAAGUGGUAAAACCAUGGUGUUGGGAUAUGAGGAUGUCCAGUUAACAGAGGUGAAAAACUAAUCAAGUUGCUCAAGUAAAGGAUCUUGCUGCAUGUUGCUCCUGGUAAAAGUCCUUCACUUAAUUGGUAAUUCAAUGAGGCCCAGCUGCCCAAUGACGUCAUUAAAUAGCAAGGUAUCCAGAAAAUUACCACCCAAUUUGUUCAUGUCAUCCAGAGAUAUGUAGAAAUUGAAAUCCCCUAGGAAGAUCCAAUUAUCCUCGGCCUGGUAAGACAAGGGGUGGAGGAAGGUUGUGAGCGUGAUACUAAAGGGUGCUUGUGUUGGUGUGUGUGGGGGGGGGGGAGGAUGGGGAUAGUGUCGCAUCUCAAAUGAGCUAGUCCUCUCAUUUGACAACCUCAGCCAUCAUAUUUGGAUCCAGUGAUUGCUUUCUUUUCUAUCUCCUCUCAAUCUGCAUUUUGUCUUCCUUGUAACUUCUCAGUUCUCAUGACAUUCUCCCAUAACCAGCACUUCUCAGUUCUCACAACAUUUCCCCAUGACUAGCACCUCCCGUUGGGCAUCUCCUCCCAACCAGCCUAACGGUAUCCCUCAUUGUCCCACCUUCCAGCGUGUUGUCUGCAGUCGCUACUAGCUUAGGCUAGGUUGCAGCCCUAACUGAGCUUUCUUUAAAGACCAGGGGACUACCUCCAAAACACUAUAUUCCAAAGGAAAUUCACCGUGUUGUAUGUCAAUUGAAUCUUGCUUCACUUCCAGGAGAUUGAGAUACGAGAAGUAUUGUCAAAUUAAUCCAUUUUGAAUAGGGUUCGACGAAUAGUGACAUGAAGGGGGACUAUGCACAUGGUAGGGGCAAAGGAACUCACAAGCUUUGAUAUGAGGUAGGGUUCGACGAAUAGUGACAUGGAGGGGGACUAUGCACCUGGUAGGGGUAAAGGAACUCUCAAGCUUUGAGAUGAGGUAGGCUAAGGCAAGAGGCGGAGAGAGGGUGCGAGGGGUGCUUGCGAUUGUGUGGUGUGUGGGAGGAUGGGGGUUGGCACAUGUUGAGGAAGUUUUGUAUACAUGUUAUAAUUUGUUGGUUUGGGCCUUAGGUUUCUAUCCAAGAGCAACAAAAAAUUUUGAACAAACAUUUCAAAAAUAAAUUAAAUUUGAAUAACUCUGUCACACACAUAUAUCCCCGUUGAUCUUGGUGGUCACGAUAAACUAGCUAGCCAAGUCCACACAUGCUUUCUUUUGAAUCAUUUUAUAGCAUGGCAUAACAAAUAGCAUCAGAUUCAGACGACUACUCAAGCUGCAUUUCCGUAGCACGUUUAGUCAGGUACAUACGUACACACACACACACAGAUAUAUAGUAUAUAUAUGUAUUGGUUGUACAAAAAUAAAGAGGAAAAACGUUAUUAAUUACUUGAGCGAAGCCUAUCAUGCAUCCGCAGUAAAAAUGAAUGAUACAGAGACCAGCAAUAAGCAGAGUAACAAACGAUGGAGAAGCUGCUGAUGCCGAUGCUUAAUUGCAAGGUCUCAUGGUGACACUGACAUGCAUGAUACAAGAAAGGGAAUUGUCCGGCGUCGUCAAACUCGAUCUCUUGCAAGAGCAAGACAGAUACUAGAUAUAGCAAGCGCGUAGCAGGUAGUGAUCGAGCUUCUUAGAUGAGCUCCUCCUCCUUGUGCGUCUCGAUGACGACGUCGGAGGUGGGGUAGGCGUGGCAGGUGAGCACCCACCCGGCGGCGACCUGGCCGUCGUCGAGGAAGCUCUGGUCGGACUGGUCGACGGAGCCGGAGACGACCUUGCCGGCGCAGGAGGAGCAGGAGCCGGCGCGGCACGAGUAGGGCAGGUCGAUCCCAUCCUCCUCGGCCUGGUCGAGGAUGUAGACGUCGUCGGGCACCUGGAGCUCCACCUCGCCGUCGGGGGUGAUGAGCUUGACGUUGUAGGUGGCCUGCGCGCGCAGCCUGGCGCCGCGGGCGACCUUGGCCGGCAGCGCGACGGUGGCCGGCGCCGGCGCCGGGGCGGCGCGGACGGAGAAGGCCGGCGCGCGGAGGCUGCUGAGGGCGGUGGCCAUUAUUGUGCUUUGUGGUUGCUAGGUAGCUGCAGCAGCUGAAGCAAUGGAAGAAUCGGCCACACACACCUAGGGAUUAGGGAAGGAAUGAAGGAGCAAUGGAGGGGCGGGUGGCCGGCCAGCGAUUUAUCGAUAGAGAGGAAGGAGGGGGUGGGGUGCCACGUGGCGGGCGGCGAGUGGGCGGCUUAUCUGCGGCGGGAUCGCCGGAGCAAGGAGGUUCACACGCUGCUCAUCGUCAUCGAUGGGCGUGUGGAGGCCACGCAUACAGAUCGAGCAAGAACAUGUUGGUGCUCUGAGCUAGAACAGUGCAAUGUGCUACUGUCCACACAUUUGGCUGUGGUUGGUUUUUGGCCGGAUUGAGGUUUUAAGGUCACGGGAUCACUGCGAUGCAGAGGCCACUAGCUUGCUUGCGCCUUUGAUGGGUGGUUUGUGGCCAUCAUUGUUGGCAGAGUUCUUUGAUUGUGAACACACAUCUAAUAAAGUGCUAUCUAUCACACCAAUCAUCCUAACUUGUUUCUUCUAAACACAUUAAUUACAGAUGUACAGACACAUAUACAUGUACGCACAUACAGCUUCAUUAUCACAUAUUGGCAUGUCAAGUCUUGUGAUUGAAAAGGCCACGCUUGCCACAUUCCUAAAAUAAACUCAGUAAAAUGCAAGUAAAUCUGCUAAGCCUAGAAUUUAGAAUAGAAUUUAGCGGCAGCUGGUUAGACUCAUUGUGGUGGAACCUACCCAUCCGGAUUCGAUCCGUUAACUCGGCACAGGCGUUCAUAUUUUCUUGAAUUUAGGAAGAAAUUGAUACUAUACUUUCAGGGCUACGUGCUUGUCGAUAGUGAGUUGUUAGUCUAUCCAAGGUGCUCAUAAGGGUAGGAGUACAUGUGUAUAUAUGUAGAGGUAAGUAUGUGUGCGUGUAUGUGAGCAUUUGCAUCUGUACUUUACUAUUCGAAUUUUUUUUUUAUAGUCCAGCACGCUGAGGGGUGUUUCAACUCAAAUUUGAUGUUUAUUACGAUGUUGGGCUGGGGAAACGUGCUGCUUUCCUUUUGUGGGCUUUUAGUACUGGCAUCGGCGGCGGCGCGUGAAUGUCUAAUUAUUCAAAAAAUUAGACAUCACAUCCCAAAUGAUGGCCCAGCCCAGUACGUGCCUACCCGGCCUGUCAGUUUGAAGCCAAGCACGUAUGCAGUAUGAACGUGCUGGAUGCCAUUCCUGUCUGCUGCUGUUUGCUGCUGGUUCAGGUUGGAGGUUGUUGGUCAAUGAAAAUGAGAGACAACGCGGAGAAGAAAUCAACAACGCGUUAUGCAUUCGAUGGAUGCAUGUCGUCGUUCUUGUAAUUAACAUUGUUUGACUUGAUAUAAUUUUUGUAGCUUUUUUAAUAAUGAAUAGUAAUUCCAGCUUCGGUCCCCUUCGAAGAGGAGCUUCGGUCCAAAUUUAUUACAGAACGUAGCACACUGCUACUUGUCGGGAGGAGUUUCAGUCCAAAUUUAUUACACAACGUAGCACACUACUACUUAUCACAACAGGUUCAGACAAAUGUAAACCACUCAAAAAUCAGUUGUUAAAUUGAAGGACUAUCCAUUGGAACUAAAAAACGCAGUGCUGCCAUUUCCAAAGAACAACAUGCCAUUCACUGGAACUAAAGAAACGCAGUGCUGCUAUUUCCAAAGAACGGCAUGCCGAAACAACGGAUUCUUGGUCAUUCUCACUUUGCUGCAACUCGAGGCCAAUGCGUUCCCCUGAAUAGUACAUGAAAAAAAAAGUUUUCGGUCAGCAUUUAUAAAAACCACCUCAUUUCUAGUCAACCAUAUCGCCCAGCAUAAAGCUGCACUCCCCAUCAAUAAAUAAUGAUUUGGCUUGUGUCCCCCUUGUUUAGCCCAUUGGUUAAACAUAUUGCUUAUAUUCAUCGGUGGAGAUAAGCCAAAUACCAUAUGAACAGCACGUCGGAGAAGUUUGGCAUAAUGACACUUGAAGAAAACAUGGUCGAUGGACUCCACUGAACUACAAAAGCUACAAUAUUUGUUCCCAUUCCAAUUUCUCCGAGCAAGGUUAUCUUUUGUUAAAAUAACACCAUUUUUUAGAUACCACAUGAAGAUCUUAAAUCUUUAAAAGUAUUAUCAUAUGCCAAAUUUCCUAUGUGACUUUAAUCCCAUUACUGACGAGAUGUUUAUACAUAGAAUGUACAGUGAAUGAGCCAUUUUUAUGAAGGGACCAAUUAAAAGUAUCUCUCCCUUCGCAUAGGUUGACAUGUAUAAUUUUACCCACCAGGUUGUACCAUUCUAGUAGCUUAAUCCCCACUAGUGAUCUCCUGAAGGAAAUAUUUAGUGGUGUAGCAUAGAAGACAUCAGCCACUGUAGCAUGUUUCUUUCGCACUGUAUGGUACAAGUUAGGAUAUUGAGACUUUAAUGUCCUAUUUCCUAACCAUUAUCCCCCCCCCCAAAUCGGGUUUGUGCCCCAGGCAUAACCUUAAAGCGCCCCAAAUUGAGGAAGUCCUCCUUGACGCCCAUUAAACCCAUCCAAAACUGUGAAUCACCCGGUUUCUUAUAUACCUGGCCUAGAGGUUUAUUUCUAAGGUAUUUCUUCCUUAGUAAAUCCUGUCAAAUUCCCUCCUCAUUACAAAGUUUAAACAACCACUUGCUUAGUAGACAUCUAUUUUGUGUCUCUAAGUUCAUUAUCCCCAGGCCCCUAAUCCUUCGGGUGACAUAGUAAGUCCCAUUUCGCUACUCUAUAUUUUUUCCUGUGCUGAUCAUUCUGCCAAAAGAACCUUGACCUGAAGUGCUCUAUAUUUUUAGGACUCCCUUCGGGACCUCAAAAAAUGGCAACAUGAACAUGGGUAAGCUGAUUAAUACAAAGUUAAUCAGCACUAAUCAUCCCCCAACCGAGAACAUCUUUCCUUUCCAUCCACUAAGUCUUUUUUCAAAUCUACCUUCAAUAGUCCUCCAAUCCUUAUUACUUAGUUUUCUAAAGUGCAUUGGUAUGCCCAAAUAUCGAAAAGGGUAAGAGCCUAGUUUACAACCGAACAAAAGUGAGUAUGUAGACUCUUGCUCCCUUGCUUGUCCAAAGCAGAAGGUCUCAGUUUUAUGAAAAAUUAUUUUAAGACUACAUAAUUGUUCAAACAUACAUAAAAUCAGCUUCAUAUUUUUUACUUGUUCAAUAUCAUGGUCCAAAAAAAUCACCGUAUCAUCUGCAUAUUGCAAAAUCGAGAGCCCGUCUUCUAUUAAUUAAAUGUGGAACUACCCCUUUUACCUAUUCUUCAUUUUCAGCCCUUGCAAUGAUUAUCGCUAGCAUGUCCACCACUAUAUUAAAUAGUAUGGGAGACAGCGGAUCUCCUUGCAUGAGGCCUUUCCUUGUUUGGAAAAAAGGACCCAUCUGGUCAUUAACUUUAAUACCGACGUUCCCCCAUAGUGAAGGCUUUAAUCCAAUUACACCAUGUGGUUGAAAAAACCUUUCGUACUUAACGUUUGCUGUAAAAAUCCCAUUUCACCUUAUCAUAGGCUUUUUCAAAAUCUAUUUUAAACACUAUACCAUUUUGCUUCUUAGUAUGUAGCUCAUGCAAGGUUUCAUGUAAGAUGACAGCUCCUUCCAUUAUAUUUUUUCUUGGUAGGAAAGCUGUUUGUGACGGUCUAAUAAUCUUUUGUGCUACCUUGGACAUUCUGUUUGUGGCUACUUUUGUAAAAGUUUUGAAGCUCACAUUCAGUAGACAUAUUGGUAUGUACUGUUGAAUUUGCUUCGCUACACUACGCUUCACUAUAAUUUUUGUAGCUAGUUGUAGCAACCAAUUCCAUGCUUUUUUUAGUGCGUUGCUUGGCUAAAAAAGAGUGAGAUUUUCAGAACAGGUAUACACUACUAGCUACUCCCUCCAUUCCAAAUUGUAGGUCAUUUUGACUUUUCUAGAUUCAUAGAUAUUAUUAUGCAUAUAGACAUAAUUACGACGGUGAAAGCAUCUAUGCCCCUAAUUUGAGUUUUGGUAAUUAAUGACAACCUUCGUGGACUAACAAUUUCAUUGGAGAUAUGAGUUUAGGUUAGUCCCGGAAUUGAAUUGAGUUUCAAUGGAUGCUAUGGUGAUAGCUUGGAUGAGUUUACAAUAGAAAGCUUAAGGCAAAGGUAUAUGGUAGGGCUUUUCUAUUUUACCGGUCAAGAGGUGUUUAGUGGAUGAUAAUUGACCGGGUUAAUAGGCUAGAUAGCCCUACUAUCAAGAGGGGUCAAUUUUAUUUUCUUGACGGUUCAAUACUGCCACUUUGCUCAAACAAUUGCAUUGCAUGCAUAUAGGUCUAUCUUGUUUGAAAAGUGGGUAAAAUGAUGGUAAACAUAUGUUUUGAAAAUGGCUAACAUGAUGUGUAAGGAGGAUGGUCUCCUUUGUGAAGGCGGACCGUUAUUUGACUUUGCCAUAUCUUUGAAAUAGUUUUGUUGCACUAAAAAUCUAGAGGGCGGACGGUCCGACCCUGAGUAGGCAGACGGUCCGCCACAUGACUUGUUUUUAGAUAGAACCGGUUCUUGUUCUGGUGGGCGCAGGUUUAUAAAGGUGGACGUUCCACCCCCGGUUGGCGGACGGUCCACCACAUGAUCAGAAAUUUGUAUAGAACCAUUCUUGGUUCUGUGUGGGGCUGCGAUGUGAACGGCGGACGGUCCGGAUGUUGGUAUUUAGACCUGAUAACCUACCGAGGGGGGUGCCGAGGUAGUGUUUUAGUUAGUGGAGCUUGUCGAGAUCAGGAACUCGAAGGUAAACGCAGACACACGAUUUAGAUAGGUUCGAGCCACUAGAUUGCAUUGAAGGGGUCCCUACCUCACCUUAUAUUGCUGGGGGGUAGGGUUACAAGUCGGUUGGUUACAAGAAUACAGAGGAGUUCUACUCUUAUUACAACAAGUACUUUCCUAAUGCUCAACUAGUUCCUAUCUUUCCAUGUAGAGUACGUCGUCCUGCGUUAUGGUCUCCAUGUCAGAUGCGUCUCGGUGUCCAGCCCCAUAUUCAGGACUGUCCAAACCUACUGGUGGGCCCAUAGAUGCAUGUACGGCACCGGUCCCUAGGGGCGGACGGUCCGCCAGCUAACUUUGAGAGUUAGACAGAACCAUUUUAGUUCUGAGUGCUGGGCGAAGUUGUAAGGCAGACGGUCCGCCAGUUUUGGAUGGACGGUCUGCCGUACAAAUCUUCAUCAUGGACAUGUCUAGCAGCUCCCUGUGUGCUUGUAAAUUUGAACCGCAGAUGGUCCGCGCCUGUAAGGGUGGACGGUCCCCCUGUGCUGCAACUGUCAUUUCUAGCAUGCAUUUAUUGCGCUUGUAGCUAUUGGGAUGAACGGUGGACGGUCCACGCUCAUAGAGGCGCACGGUCUGCGAAUCCCCUGUUUUCAUGAGUUUUGAACAUAACGGCUAGAUUUGGGGAAGGCUCUAUGAAAGGAUCAUGCCCGGGCGUGGGAGAGCUCUCUUGGCACUUUGGAAAGAAUUCUUGACAUACUUGUGCCUUCUUCCUUCUCUCUCUUACUCACUUUGCUUAGAGGUUGAAUUCUUGUGAGAUUGAAAGUAUCCUAGUGCAUUGCAUCAAGAGUUUGAGCUUUGUGGCAUUAGGGAGUCUUCAAGCAAGCGUCAUCGACUUGUUACUCUUGGAUGUUGCUGCCUCCUAGACGGCUUGGAGAUUGUGGAGCCGUUGAGCCCUUCAAGAAGAUUGUGAAGGAGCCUCGGCUAUUCUUUCCUAGACGGCUUGGAGAUUGUGGAGCCGUUGAGCCCUUCAAGAAGAUUGUGAAGGAGCCUCGGCUAUUCUUGUGAGAGGUCCUUGUGCUUACCUCGUUGGAGUGGUGAAUAGCAACUCUAGUGGAAUCGAAGUUUUGUGAGAUUCUUUGAAUCAAGCCGGCUCAAGAUCAAGCGAAGUCUUAGUCGGUGUUUUAUACUCGUCAACCUACCGAGGGGUAUCCCGAGGUAGUAGAUUGGUUGGUGGGGGAUCGCCGGAUCUGGAACUCGAAGGUAAAAGCGAGGACACAAGACACAUAUUUAUACAUGUUCAGGCUACCAGAGUAGCGUAAUACCCUACGUCCUGUUUGGGGUGUUGUAUAUUGGGCCCUACGCUUGGGUGUUGUUUGAUGUGAGGAUUUGGUCCUCUAUUGUGGUUCUCUGAGGUCUUCGCCUACCGAUCUAGGCACCCCUACCCUCCUUUAUAUACUUAGGGGUGGGAUUACUAGUCGGUUACAAGGUAGGAGUCCUAGUAGGAUUACAAGGUAUGAGUCCUAGUAGGAUUAUAGAGGAAUCCUAGUAGGAGUCCGUCUUCUUCCUUCCUUGCAGGUACUAGGGAUCUAUCCCCGACAGUCUUGAUAGAGGAGCGGUUGAAACAUUGAAUCUACCUCAACGUGGAUUAGGAGUGACCGGCAAGUUAUCGACACCACGGGAUAAAUUCGUCUCUUGUCUUCGGUUAUUUCUUUGCUCAAUUUUCAUAUCGCAAUUUACUUUGAGGAAUUACAUUCCUAGAGAUUGAAUUGUAUCUCGUCACCCUAGGUUGCAAACCAGCACCUAGCUUUAAAAAAGAGUAGAAAUAUA
rnacentral:lncRNA from 1 species